rnacentral:rRNA from 1 species
UACGGGGGGGGCAGGCGUUGUUCGGAAUUACUGGGCGUAAAGGGCUCGUAGGCGGCCAACUAAGUCGGAUGUGAAAUCCCCAGGCUCAACCUGGGAACUGCAUCCGAUACUGGAUGGCUUGAAUUCGGGAGAGGGAUGCAGAAUUCCAGGUGUAGCGGUGAAAUGCGUAGAUAUCUGGAGGAAUACCGGUGGCGAAGGCGGCAUCCUGGACCGACAUUGACGCUGAUGAGCGAAAGCUAGGGGAGCAAACGGG